rnacentral:rRNA from 1 species
GAUGAACGCUGGCGGCGUGCUUAACACAUGCAAGUCGAGCGAAGCACUUUACUUGGAUUUCUUCGGAAUGACGAGUAUUGUGACUGAGCGGCGGACGGGUGAGUAACGCGUGGGUAACCUGCCUCAUACAGGGGGAUAACAGUUAGAAAUGACUGCUAAUACCGCAUAAGACCACAGCACCGCAUGAUGCAGGGGUAAAAACUCCGGUGGUAUGAGAUGGACCCGCGUCUGAUUAGCUGGUUGGUGGGGUAACGGCCUACCAAGGCGACGAUCAGUAGCCGGCCUGAGAGGGCGACCGGCCACAUUGGGACUGAGACACGGCCCAAACUCCUACGGGAGGCAGCAGUGGGGAAUAUUGCACAAUGGGGGAAACCCUGAUGCAGCGACGCCGCGUGAAGGAAGAAGUAUUUCGGUAUGUAAACUUCUAUCAGCAGGGAAGAAAAUGACGGUACCUGACUAAGAAGCCCCG